rnacentral:rRNA from 1 species
GAUCAUGGCUCAGGAUGAACGCUAGCUACAGGCUUAACACAUGCAAGUCGAGGGGCAGCAUGGUCUUAGCUUGCUAAUGCCGAUGGCGAUUGGCGCACGGGUGAGUAACACGUAUCCAACCUGCCGUCUACUCUUGGACAGCCUUCUGAAAGGAAGAUUAAUACAAGAUGGCAUCAUGAGUCCGCAUGUUCACAUGAUUAAAGGUAUUCCGGUAGACGA